rnacentral:rRNA from 1 species
UACGUAGGUGGCAAGCGUUGUCCGGAUUUAUUGGGUUUAAAGGGUGCGUAGGCGGUCUUGUAAGUCAGUUCUGAAAUAUCCCGGCUUAACCGGGAGGGUGGGAUUGAUACUGCAGGACUUGAGUGGAGUCGAGGUAGGCGGAAUUGACGGUGUAGCGGUGAAAUGCUUAGAUAUCGUCAAGAACACCGAUAGUGUAGACAGCUUACUAGUCUCAAACUGACGCUGAGGCACGAAAGUGUGGGGAUCAAACAGG